rnacentral:rRNA from 1 species
GACGAACGCUGGCGGCGUGCUUAACACAUGCAAGUCGAACGGAAAGGCCCUGCUUGCGUGGGGUGCUCGAUUGGCGAACGGGGGAGGAACACGUGAGUAACCUGACCUUGACUUUGGGGUAACUUCAGGAAAGGGGAGUUAAUAUAGUAUAGCAGCCGCCGCUCCAGUGUGGGGGGUGGAAAGUUGAGGCUGUUGGGGAUGGACUCGCGGCUUAUCGGCUUGUUGGUGGGGUGGUGGCAUACCAAGGCUUUGACGGGUAGCCCGCCUGAGAGGGUGACCGGCCACCUUGGGCCUGCGGUACGGACCAGACUCCUACGGUAGGCAGCGGUCGCGAAUAUUGCCCAGUGAGCCCGCGUCUGUUGAAGCGACCCCCCGUUCGGAAUGACGUCCUUCGGGUUGUAAACCGCUUUAGCCUGUGACGACGCGUGAGUGACGGUACUGGGUAAAGAAGCACCGGCUAACUACGUG